UACAGGGGGGGCAAGCGUUGUUCGGAAUUACUGGGCGGAAAGGGCUCGUAGGGGGCCAACUAAGUCGGACGUGAAAUCCCUCGGCUUAACCGGGGAACUGCAUCCGAUACUGGAUGGCUUGAGUUCGGGAGAGGGAUGCGGAAUUCCAGGUGUAGCGGUGAAAUGCGCAGAUAUCAGGAGGAACACCGGUGGCGAAGGCGGAUCUCUGGGCCUUGCCUGACGCUGAGGCGCGAAAGCUAGGGGAGCGAACAGG
rnacentral:rRNA from 1 species